rnacentral:rRNA from 1 species
UAGGGAAUCUUCGGCAAUGGGGGCAACCCUGACCGAGCAACGCCGCGUGAGUGAAGAAGGUUUUCGGAUCGUAAAGCUCUGUUGUAAGAGAAGAACGUGUGUGAGAGUGGAAAGUUCACACAGUGACGGUAACUUACCAGAAAGGGACGGCUAACUACGUGCCAGCAGCCGCGGUAAUACGUAGGUCCCGAGCGUUGUCCGGAUUUAUUGGGCGUAAAGCGAGCGCAGGCGGUUUAAUAAGUCUGAAGUUAAAGGCAGUGGCUUAACCAUUGUUCGCUUUGGAAACUGUUAAACUUGAGUGCAGAAGGGGAGAGUGGAAUUCCAUGUGUAGCGGUGAAAUGCGUAGAUAUAUGAAGGAACACCGGUGGCGAAAGCGGCUCUCUGGUCUGUAACUGACGCUGAGGCUCGAAAGCGUGGGGAGCAAACAGG